CACAACGAAAAAAAAAAAAAGCUUCUUUUUGUUUUUGUGAAGAAAUGGAAAGCUGUAGCAAUAUUGCCAUUGCUUUUGUGAGAUCAAAGGAGAUUCUUUUCUUUUUGAAAUUCAAAGCACAUUAAGUGAAGCUUCAUAGAUUGAGUAGAUUUUCAGAGUUGGAAAUAGUUCAACAAAGGAGUUUAUAAACCAGUCACAGAAUUCAAACGGAAAAGAAGAAAAAUACCAACGAUUCCAAAUGAAUAGCAAUCAACAGGAUAACCUCUUGAUAAUAUUUAUUGAUAGUAUCAUCAACAUGACACAGGUAGAGUUCAUAGAAGCAAUAGAAAGUACACCAAGCUCAAGGCUCUAGCUACUGAAAUUAUCAUCUUCUUGAACAUGGUCAAGUUCUUCAUACUCAGAGUCAGGAAAGAGCUGGAAGACUCUGGCCGGGUUAUAUCACCCAUAUUUACAGUAUGGCUAAGUUUGUCCAGCGAGGUCAAGACAUCAUCAACAACAAACCCCAGUGGAUUGAUGAAGGCUAAUGAGGAGAAUACCAAAGUGGAGCCCAUUAUCAGCUGUGUCAUAAAUAGGGGAGCAGAUAAUCAGAGGAGGGUGCUUUAUGUCCAGUAAAACCCAAGAAAACAAUGUGGUCACCAACAUUAUUUGGCUCCAGCAUUUGCACCUCCAGAACUGCCACAUUAUUGAAGGAUUAGCAACAAUAUCAUGGUGUUAGAGAGUCAUAAGGGGUUGCAUUGUAUGUAUGGUGGGCAGUAUGAAGUUGGAAGGUCACCUGAUUUUGACAUGCAGUCUAUUCUGUGGCUGCAUCAAUACCCCUUUUUAAA